ensembl:lncRNA
AGAAGAUCUUCACCCUUGAAACUGUCGACAUCAUCUGCUGCCUGUGCCCGGACUCGAGAUGCUCGUUGAAAUGAAUUACUGUUACAUUCUGGACGGGAUCCUCCUCCUGUACGGACUCAUCCUGACAGUGAUGUACUGCAGACUGAGGAUUCAAACCCGAAAGAAAGAAGCCACCUGCACUCAGAAGCAGGCCCCUGAGGGAGGCAUCUAUGCGGUGAGACAUCUCUCUGUUGUCAUUAAAAAGCUCUUUAAAAAGGCUCGCGACCACCAGGGGGCAGUGUACGCCGCUCCGCAUGGGUCUGACUUCGCCUAACACCGACACGUACGAGACCAUCCGCGUGGACAAGACGCCCAUCGUGUGAAACAGCCUGCUUCAGCGCUUCUCUUCUGUCUGUUUUAUCUGUUUAUAAUGUUAGUGAGAGGAAGAAGUGCUUCAGAACGUGCUUCAGUGUUCAACAGAAGUGUGAAGUUCAAUUCCGGCCUGUGCAUCGACUUUUUAUGAUUAAAGCUCCUGUCACACAAAACUGUACUGCAGUGACAUGUUAUAAUACUGUUUUUACUGUUAAAACAUCAGGAGUUGUGUUUUGUUUCAUUCACAUGUUUGAGUCACUUUAUUAUUAGUCUGUAACAUCUACAAAGCUCAAAAUGCGACGUUCCACCUUGUGAUGUCAUCAAGUGGUCGUUUUAGUGAACAGCUCCUUUUACCUUUAGUUCAGAAGAGAUUUUUUUCAAUUCCAGAGCUGAAAUGAUCCAAAUGAUUCUAGAAAUGUGGAGUUUAAAAACACAGUGGAGCACUUCCUGUAUCACCACAUGAUGACAUCACAAGGUGGAACAGAGCGUUUUCAGUUAUAAAUCUGCAGGUUUGUGUGUUAAACAUGUGAGAAUGAAACAAAACACAACUCCAGGUCUGUGUGUGACGAGGAAACAACAUCAGAACAGACCAGAGUCAUGUGGGUCGUUCAAAAUGUAAAUGAAUCAUUUUCAGUUUUUUUUUCAUUCACUUUGAUGAUUUGGACCCAGAUGAACACGUCACCUUUUGCUGCAAACGUAUUUUUUCAGACUAACAUCGAUUGUGCCACUAAUAUUUUAUCUUUAGUUUAAUUUGUGGAGGUUUCUUCAUGUUUUCUCGUGUUUUGAAGCCAGUGCAAUGUAAGAAGCACUAAAUGAAUGCAUGUAGUUAUAAAUAAAAGCUUGGGGCA